AGUGAACGCUGGCGGUAGGCCUAACACAUGCAAGUCGAACGGCAGCACAGUAAGAGCUUGCUCUUACGGGUGGCGAGUGGCGGACGGGUGAGGAAUACAUCGGAAUCUACUUUUUCGUGGGGGAUAACGUAGGGAAACUUACGCUAAUACCGCAUACGACCUACGGGUGAAAGCAGGGGAUCUUCGGACCUUGCGCGAUUGAAUGAGCCGAUGUCGGAUUAGCUAGUUGGCGGGGUAAAGGCCCACCAAGGCGACGAUCCGUAGCUGGUCUGAGAGGAUGAUCAGCCACACUGGAACUGAGACACGGUCCAGACUCCUACGGGAGGCAGCAGUGGGGAAUAUUGGACAAUGGGCGCAAGCCUGAUCCAGCCAUACCGCGUGGGUGAAGAAGGCCUGCGGGUUGUAAAGCCCUUUUGUUGGGAAAGAAAAGCAGCAGGUUAAUACCCCGCUGUUCUGACGGUACCCAAAGAAUAAGCACCGGCUAACUUCGG
rnacentral:rRNA from 1 species